rnacentral:rRNA from 1 species
UACGAAGGGGGCUAGCGUUGCUCGGAAUUACUGGGCGUAAAGGGCGCGUAGGCGGAUAUUUAAGUCGGGGGUGAAAGCCCAGGGCUCAACCCUGGAAUUGCCUUCGAUACUGGAUAUCUUGAGUACGGGAGAGGUGUGUGGAACUCCGAGUGUAGAGGUGAAAUUCGUAGAUAUUCGGAAGAACACCAGUGGCGAAGGCGACACACUGGCCCGUUACUGACGCUGAGGCGCGAAAGCGUGGGGAGCAAAACAGG